UGGAGGUCUCCAUGAAGUGGGCAUUUUCUCACUUGCAAGUUGGACUCAGUGGAGCAUCACCGACAUCUUCGGAUGGACUUUGAUCAAGUCAUGCUGCCACGUGGGCAGCAGGAUUGGGCUGCAGCUGCUACCUGCUGUGUUGGGCUGCUGUAGUCUUCCUAGGACUUGGACUUGGCUGGCACAAGCAAAGGAUGUUUGCAGCCAGUUUGGCAGGUUCAGAAGAUAAUCCUUCACACCUUUUGGCUUUAAAUAAAUCACUUUUUGUACAGAGACA
rnacentral:lncRNA from 1 species